CAAGUAUUGUUAAUACAACGAAGAGUUUUUUUUUCAUAACUAUAGGGAACUUAAAUUUCUUUUAUCUUUAAUUACAUUAUUAAUUACGACAGAUUUUCACUGAUUGAUUUGGAAUAGAUACCAACAAAAAUACGAGAAUCUAAUUGAUUUUUCUUUCGUAAUCCAUUACUUCUCUAAAUCAAAAAGAAAGAAUUUCAAGAAGUGAUAUCAUUGUCUAUCGUUCUCUCGUUUUCUGUUAGGAAAGUAUAUUUUAUCGUUGGAAUAUGACGAAAUAUCUACGGAAACAUCGUGUUUAAUAGUUCUGUUGGAAUCUAUCGUAAUUAAUAAUGUGUUAACGAUAGAAGAAACUCUAAGUUCUCUAUCAUAUAAUUACAAAAGAAAACGCUUUGUUGUUAACCAUACUGAUGAUAGUUGACAUUAACAUUGAUCUCCAAGUAUAAUUACGAUAGAAAUAAUAUGCAUUAAGAAAGAAUAUGCAUUCCACAAAAUGCAAUAAAAGUACUCCAACUUUCAUUUUCUGGUUCACAAUUAUUAUCAGGUUUAUAAUUAUCGUUAUCAUUUUCUAGAAAUUCUUCUUUUUUAUCUGUUACAAACUCUGCGCUACUUAAAUCCACUUCCCAAUAAUUUUGAAAUUUCAAAGCAGUAUCGGUUUGUAUAACAAAUGCUAUAUUAUUUGUUAUAAUAUUCUGUAUCACUUCAUAUAAUUGUAUUUCUAUUCUAUUUAUAGGCAUCUGGGAAAUAAGUAUAAUUUGAAAUAAAACAAUUAACAUAUUAAGAACAUUUGCAACAUUUAUGUGUAACAUUAUGCUUUGUUUGAUAAAAAAUUUAAACAAUUUAAUAGAAUAAUCAAGUACACGUUAGAUACACUUGAUACUGAUGUGAAAAUGACACGUAACAUCAUUAAUAAAGAUACAAAACUUUUAUUAAUAGGGGAUUUCUAUUUCAUAUAUAAUGCCGUGACAUGACGAAUAUAAAAUAUGAAUGUGAAAUAUGAGACACAGACAGAAUGAACACUGUGUGAAAACAACAUGAAUACUCUAAUAUUGUGCAACUGUCACAUAAAAAAUAAUACAUACAGGAAUGCAGUUAAUAUAAAUAUAUAGUAUUAUAAUGUUACGUCCGGCAGACUCCACGACUCCCCUUCGUCAGCGAAACAAAUAAGAUUACAAAAAGGAUUCCGUUUCAACGGUCUCCGAUAAUUUUUUAUGCGUCUAGGAUUAGUCCGUUAGAAACCUGACGACAAACAUGGAUGGACGAAACGAACAAGUUGAUAAUUUCAACUCCUUUUGAAUAUCGAGUCAACAAACAAUAAAUUCUGAAGAUAAAAAUAUAAAACAACAUGGUGUUCGGGAUUCAGUAUGUACUGAGCUUGCGCCGUCACGUCAGAUGGCAGCAGUUAUCGAUCACCGUUCGCGUAGAUCGUGGUGCGCCAGCAUGAGCGCCAGCAUGCGCGCCAGCAUGCGCAUAUCACCAGAAUUAAUUUACUUCGGUACUUGUGCUCUAUGGCGGCGAUUCACGUUGUAUUUCGUGCGAUCGUUUUAACGUAGUUUUGUGCUGAAGUCUAUUCGUGGGAUCUUUAAAUACCUGUUCAGAGAUUGCUCAACAGAAGGACUCAUUCAGGAAUUAAGAGAGACUCAUAAUUAUUGCUCAGGUACAUCACCAUCGAGAGAAUCACGCUCACCACGCGCACGCCGGCGCCGCGUGAUACCGGCUCACAGGCAUUAUCAUCACGACCGGCAAUAGAUUAAUAUAAUCUUUCCCGUGUAAGUGAUCAAGACAUUAUUCUCAUCCAGACAUUUAUUCUUGUGCUCAUUAAACAGUAAACACGUAUAAUGUGUAUCAAUUAAGAUCUGUGAUAAAUAUAUGGUAUGACUCGGACAUCAUGAUGAGUCCACGUGACAUGUAACCGCAGUGCAUUUUACUUAACACCUGUUCCACACAUGUCCUCUCACACUGCUUAACAUCCUCAAGGGUUAAGUAGCGAUCUCUUCGCCAAGUCGCGAACACAUGGGUUCGAAGCAAGGUUUCACGGUUUCUUACAAAAAAAAGCAAUAAAGAAUCUAAACAUUAGCAAAAUAUAAAUAACCGUUUCUUCUAUUUGCAAUCUAUACCGUAGCAUGUCUAGCACGCUAAAAAAUUAUUUAUCUUAUCAAGAGUAAAGGCGAGAGAGUGUGAGAGAGAGCGGGAAAAGGCGGAGAGUUAGUGAGAGUGGAGUGAGAGAUGAGAGGUGCAUGAGUGGAGGAGGCGAGGGGAGCAACACGCGAUCACUUGGGCGGGAACCAUUGAUUAGACAGAGUCAAGAUCGGAAGCGAGUAGGGGCAGGACAGCGCGACAAGAGUAAGGCCCGUUCACACGGGACGUGGUAGGCGGUAGUGAGAAGAACUUAGGAUCGGGAUAAUAGAAAGAGGAAAGCGCGGUAACAGAACAAACCAGUAGUCGGGAUAAAAUUUUUAAGUAAGAGGAAAUAAGAUGGUGACGGAGCAAAGAGGGGGAGAGGAAGAUGAGGUAAGAAGGAGGGAAAGAGGGGGAAGGCAGCGUGGAAGAGUGGCUGAAGAGGAUGAAGAGAAAAAGGGAGGACUAGAGAGAGGGGAGGGAGAAGGAAUGGAGAGGGUUAAUGGGUGUGGUAAAGGACGAUAUUACAGAAAUGAAAAAAGAAUUGGGGAACGAAAUUAGAAAGAUAAAGGAGCAGGAGAGGAGAAUGAGUGAAGAGAUAGAGGAAAUGAAGCGAGGAAUUAGGAGGUGGAAAGAGGAGUGGGAAAGGGAAAGGAGAAAAUGGAGAGAGGCGGUAAUAGUAAAGAUGGGCAAGGUGAAACAAAAGAGUGAAAUCAUGAGGAAGAAAAGUAAAUUAAGGGGAAAGAAGGAAAGAGUAAGAGAUGAUUGGACGUGGAUGGAGAAGAAAAUGAGAUGAAAGUUAGAAUAAAUAGCAAGGGAGGAAAAGAGUAAAGGGAAUAGAACUUAGAGUAUUAGGAUCAAUGGACCUGGUGGAAAUGAGACGAGGAGAGGCAAGUUUUGAGGGAUGGUAGAGGCAGCGAGAGGAAGGGUGAGAAGAAAGAAAGGUCGGAAGGAAAAGAGAGGGAGAAGAAAGAGGGGUGAAGGUGGAGAGGGACAAAGGAGGGGGAAGGGAGAGGGAAGGGAUAAGAUAUGGAGGGUAGCAUUCUGGAACGUAGCGGGAAUAAAAAAUAAGAAUAAACGUUUUUGGAAAGAAUUAAAGGAGUGGGAUGUUUUCUGUUUAUCGGAGACAUGGUUGGUGGAGAGAUUGGGGGAGAUGGAAAAGUAGAUUCUCGAAGGGUUAUGUAUGGGGGCAAGUUGGACGUUUAAAAGAAACAGGAAAGGAAGGGCAAUAGAAGAGAUAAUGGGGAUAAGGAAAGAGCUGGCAAAUAAAUAAUUGGCAAUAGAAACAAGAGGAGAAGGGUUAAUAGUUGGGGAUAAGGGUAGAUGGGAAACUUGGAAGGUAGUGGGAGUGUACAUAGGAAAUGGAAAGAUGAAGGAAAUGCUAGAGGUCAUGGAUGAAUAGAUAGGGAGUAGUAUUCAGAAGGAGGAGGACAAUAGUAGGGGGUGACUUCAAUGCAAGAACAGGUAGGGAGGGGGGGAUCAGAGAAGGAGAGAUUAAGAAAAAAGUCGAAAGGAGUGGGAGCAGAAAAUCGAAGGAUGGAAAGAUAAAUGGAGAAGGCAAACAACUAGUAAAUUUCAUAGAGGAGAAGGGGUGGAUGAUAUUCAAUGGGAACACGGUGGGUGUUGAAGAAAGAGAAUAAACAUUCACGGAAGAAAAAAAUAGGACAAUUAUAGACUACAUAAUAGAAAAUAGAGAGAUCAAGGAUAAUGUUGUAGAGAUGGUGGUGGGAGAUAUGGUGGAUUCCGAUCAUCAACUAUUGGAAAUCAGGAUAAGAUGCGAGCAGGAGAGAAGAGAGCGGAGAAGGAAAAAGAUCAGAGGUGAGAGGAAUAUAUGAGAUGAGGAGGGUAAAAAAAGCUUCAGAGAGAAAUUAGAAGGGAUAAGAGAGAAAGAUGAAGGAAUUAGAGGAGAAUAAGGGGGAAGUGGAGGAGAUAAAGGCGCGAUAAAGGGGGUGGAAAAAGAAGGAGGGCGUAAGGGGGAGGGAGGGACUAAUGGGACGAGGAGUGUAAGAGGAAGAAAAUGAAGGUAAGAGGUAACCUGAGGAGGUG